CAGAAAUUGACAUCAAACAGUCACUGGAAUUAUGAAAUUUCAUUAAGUUUAAUAAGAGGAAUUCUGCUUGCAAGAUUGAUAAAUCAUCCUGCCCUGUUUUCGUACCAGCACCCACACUUUUGUUAAACUGGACCAAUUCGAUGGUUAACUGUAAAAACAAAAAUUAUAUUUGUAAUCUUGACAUCCUUAGCUUUCCAAAGAGUGGUCGUUUACUCAAAAUGGAGAUCGUUUGAUAUUUUAAUUAAAUUGCGAAAGUUGAGGUACUGUUGGUAUGUUUGUGCAGAAAAACUGGUUUCGGCUUUCGUUUGUUCUAGUUGAAGAUUUCACUUUUCGUCGAAUCCCGGAACUGUUAUUGACACAUUGCAGCAGAGGAGUUAGAAUCGGAGUUGGAGUUGAAGGAUCGGUAUCGGAAAGGAUAGAAGAAUGAGGCUGGAACUAGAAGCUUGAAGUUGGGAUUAGCGAAUCACUACCAUUUUAUCGGCUAAUUGGAGGUGGGUUCCUUUAGGUUAGCCUACCCAUUUUAGGUUUGGCCAAUUUAGAACUAAUUGUUCACUAUAGGUUUAGAUACAAUGACAAAUUGGAGUAUUAGAUUCCCAUUGUACUCCUAAUGUUCUUCAAAUGCUAUUUUGAAGGAUAUUACACAUGCGUGAUAAUCUAGUUAUCCCCAAUUUUUAUGCAUGUGAUAGAAUCAUUAUGAGAAGUUGUGUAUGAUGAACUUUUCACCCCAAAGCUCAUUAUUAUGUUAAAAUUAUAUUUNNNNNNNNNNNNNNNNNNNNNNNNNNNNNNNNNNNNNNNNNNNNAAUGAUGUGAUAGAUUGGGGAUGAAUGAAAUUGUUUUGAACUUGAUAAAAAUACUCUUUUUAAGUGUCAUUCGAUCCUCAACAAGUUUUGGAAAAUGCCUACAACUUCUUCUAGUUAUAAUUUUAGCAUUUUAUAUGCACCUAAAAUUUUUUGUUAGGCUAAGUAGCUAAGAAUUGAGAAUUAGUAAGCAUAACUUAUAGCAAUGAUGUGUGAUUGAUAUGGUUACACAAGGGAAAUAUAAAUAGUUCUCCCGAUGAUUAACAUAGAAGGAAUGAAUUUAGAAAGUCCAGCAAGCACUAAAGUAGCGACCUAAGUGGUUCAUAAUUCACAAGAGGUUUAGAAAACCUAGAGAACUUAGACGGUUGAUCUUAUGGAAUUGAUUAUGGGCCUUGUGCCAUAUCUAAUUAUGAAAUGUUUCAGUGGGCUUUGGACCACGUUUAUGAAUAAAAUGUUAAGUUAUGAUCCUAGUGAUACCAGAGACUGCCUGAUAUAGGAGUUGGAUAAUCUGGUUGGUUUCCCAGAGGGAAUUCCACAUUACGACAAGAUGAGUCAAGGAGUCGUGUUCUAGCCCUCGAUAGGGAAUUUGACCGACUAGGUAGACCUCCUGAGCCUAACUCACCUCAGUUUGUCUACAUAAAAAUGAACCUAGAUAAUUAUUGUGUGAUACACUUUAUUAUAUAUGUUAUGUUAUGUAUUGAUAUAUGAAUAUGAUAAUGCUUAUAAGAUGAUCAACUGACAGCCAGGUUUCCCAUAUGACUACUGACACCCUAGGUGUAGUAGGAACUCACUGAGGCUUAGAGUCUCAACCCACUCCCUUUUAUUUUUUUCCAGAUAAACAGGUUAAACAAUACAGGGGUAAGAAGGAAGCUGAUGAUCGAGGCUUAGCUUGGAUUAUCUUGAGAUAUUAACAUUAGUUUUCUUCCUUGUCUUGUAUUACUCUGUUUAGAUUCCUUUCCGCUGUGAUGUAUCAGUUUACUACGUUGUACUUGUAUAUUGUAAGUGAAACAAGUUAUUCUGUAAUUUUAAUGUAUCCAGAUUUCAAUUCUGU
rnacentral:lncRNA from 1 species